rnacentral:rRNA from 1 species
CACACAUGCAAGUCGAACGGCAGCAUGAUAAGGACUUCGGCUUUUAUUGAUGGCGAGUGGCGGACGGGUGAGUAAUAGGUAGGAAUCUGUCCUGGAGAGUGGGAUAACACGCGGAAACGCGUGCUAAUACCGCAUAAUAUUGAGAGAUCAAAGCAGGGGACCGAAAGGCCUUGCGUUCUGGGUUGAGCCUACGUCGGAUUAACUAGUUGGUGGGGUAAAGGCCUACCAAGGCGACGAUCCGUAGCUGGUCUGAAAGGAUGGCCAGCCACACUGGGACUGAGACACGGCCCAAACUCCUACGGGAGGCAGCANUGGGGAAUAUUGGACAAUGGGGGGAACCCUGAUCCAGCAAUACCGCGUGUGUGAAGAAGGCCUUCGGGUUGUAAAGCACUUUANGUGGGGAAAAAAGAUGCCAGAGGAAUAUGCUCGUAUUAUGACGGUACCCACAGAAUAAGCACCGGCUAACUCUGUGCCAGCAGCCGCGGUAAUACAGAGGGUGCAAGCGUUAAUCAAAAUGACUGGGCGUAAA